UUACGGUCAUAUUACGAGGAAACACCGAUACUUGUACGACCACUGAAGUUAAGUAACAUAGGACCUGGUCAGUACUUGCAUGGGUGACUGCUUGGGAAUACCAGGUGGUGUAAG